rnacentral:lncRNA from 1 species
GAAAAAAUCCUUUCUUAACUCCCAUUAGGAAUUUCAGUUUUCUUUUGGCAUUUUUUCAUUAAUUUCUUUAAUACAAUGAAAAAUGUUUGGAGCAGUAAUUCCUUAAUCCUGUACAGUGGUAAUAUAAUCUUCAUUUGUUCACAGUCAUUCAACCUGAAUCAUCCUCGAGCUCUGAAGCUGAUGUGUGAGCACAGUGAUAAAUCCAGCCACCACCUCAGUGCAGGUGCUCCCAUGUAAAACACACCUCUGUGGCAGCCUCAGGGCUGUGCCAGUGCCCAGCUGAGGAAUCAGCUGUGGGGAGAUGAUGGUUUUGGCAGGAGGGACAGGGCUGCCCAAGAGUGUGGCUCGGUCAGCUGGUGGCCCUGGUCUGGAGCAUGAAUUUAGCCCUGGGGACUCUGGAGUUCAGCACCAGCAGGACAGAGGUGAGGGAUGGUGAGGUUGAUAAUAAACCCCUGCCUGUUUUUCCAUCAAACCUCCCCAGUGUGAGAGUGCUCCUUAUUUCACACAGCCUGAGGUCUGAGCUUGCUGCUCCAGGAGCACAGACAGCAUUGGGCAGCUGGUUUAGGGUGAGUUAGCCCCACCACUCAAAAUGUGCCUGCCUCCCAGGCUGACCCUAACUCACUUCCAGGCCAGUAUUGUGGAGUCCUGUGGAGCCAUUCCUCAGUGUUCCAGCCCUACCUGGUGGGUAUCACUGAUAUCCUGAAGUCCUUGAUUUCAGUUCCCUAAAGAGAUCUAAGCAAUGAGAUAAGGCCCCUGUAUUGGUACUGCACCCUCCACUGAACAGCAAAUAUGGGGAUGGGGAAGCCUGGCCCCAAAGGCAGGACUGGGAGCUGCUCUUACCUGGUAGCUACAUCUGAGCAGGUGUCAAGGUGGGGUAAGCUCAGAAUGGCCCAAUUUUCCCCAAUUUUCUUGCCCUAAGCCACCAGACCUGUCCCAGUGAGCAGGGCCAGCAGUGAGUGUGGGCACAGUUCCUCACCCACCUCACCCAGCUGAAUCAUCUCUCCAAUUCUCAUUACUACAAUUUGCUGCUCUCUUUUUCCCUCCCUCCCUCUUUUAAAGCCCCUCUCCAGGUCCAAUCCAGCAGAGGUGUGCUGUGUUUGCUGCCAGUCCUGAGCAUCCCCCAGAACCACUGUGCCCCUCUGAGGACCUGCUUGGCACCUGACCCUGCUGCCAUUCAGUGCCACCUUUCAAAUCACUCCAGUCAAAUCAGGGGCUCACCUGGGAGGAGCUGCUGGUGGUGGAUGGAGGUGAAGAGCCAAGACAUUCCCAUUACAGGGACAGAGGCAGCUGAGCCCUGUACUGUGCACUGUGGGAUGGGCACAGGGAGGCCGAGCCCUUUGACCAGGGAUGUCCGCCUGGGAAACACACGAUUCAGCGUUGACAGGGGUUGUUCUGAAUGUAACAGGAUCCCACGGCAGAUGUAA